rnacentral:rRNA from 1 species
GACGAACGCUGGCGGCGUGCUUAACACAUGCAAGUCGAACGGAAAGGCCUUUUCGGAGGUACUCGAGUGGCGAACGGGUGGGUAACACGUGGGUGAUCUGCCCUGCACUCUGGGAUAAGCCUGGGAAACUGGGUCUAAUACCGGAUAGGACCGCACUUUAGUGUGUGUGGUGGAAAGUUUUUUCGGUGUAGGAUGAGCCCGCGGCCUAUCAGCUUGUUGGUGGGGUAAUGGCCUACCGAGGCGGCGACGGGUAGCCGGACUGAGAGGUUGGUCGGCCACAUUGGGGCUGAGAUACGGCCCAGACUCCUACGGGAGGCAGCAGGGGGGAUUAUUGCACAAUGGGCGCAAGCCUGAUGCAGCGACGCCGCGGGGGGGAGGACGGUCUUCGGGUUGUAAACUCCUUUCGCCAGGGACGAAGCGUGUUGUGACGGUACCUGGAGAAGAAGCACCGGCUAACUACGUG